AAAGGAGAUACAACAAAGGACCAAGUACAGAACCUUGAGGUACGCCACAAUCAAGUUGAAGGGCUUCAGAAGAAAAAUCAUCAAUGGAAACAAAUUGAAAGCGAUCAGUGAGGACUGGAAAUGGAAGACGUGAGUUCUAAAAAAAACUUUUUUAUUGCAAAAGCUCCAGUAGGACUGAAGAUAAGUAAGUGAGGUAUAUUCUAAUAAAGGCUAUUGUCGUAAUAUUCCAUAGGCGUAAAACUUCUAUUUUUGAUAAUGAUUUACUAACAUCUUUUAAUCUUUUCGCUAUUAGAUCCAGGGAUGUUUUGUGUAAUAUCCCACUGCUACAAUAAGUGUAGUUUUUUUCGCUCAAAGGCAAGUACUUGAAAGUCGGUAGUGACAAGACCGUUCGCAAAAGUUUGAUUGAUCUUUUUUCGCGGUAUUAGGAAACGAUAAACCACCUUCUUUAAAUUGUAAAAACAUAUAAUAAACACAUAAAAAUAGGCAAAAUAAGGUAGUGAAGUUUCUAAUAAUCCCAACAAAAUACCCCCAAGCUACUUAAGUCAUCAUAAAGUGAGUCGAUAAGGUGCAGAAUAUAAACAAGUUUAUUGUGUUACUUCAUAUUUCUUAUGAGUAAUUAAUGACAUGUUUUUUUCACUACUUUGCUUAAAAACGGUUAUUUUUGGCACAUUAACUGUUUUUCCUGACAUCUUAUGGAUUUACCAGUUCGUUUGUUUGUUUGUUUUUUCUCGUUAAUUAAGCUACAGUUGUAAUUUUUCUAGAAAUUUCUUGAAAAAGACAGACAGACAGACAGACAGGCAGAGUGACAGAGAGAGCAGAGAUCGAAAGGCAACCAACUGGUAGUAUUAGGGUAACAAGGUUGCAUAACCAAGCGAGCGCAAGUAAUUCCGCUUCGACUCUAUUUUAACCAUUACCGCCCACGGACAAGGCAUUCGGCAAUAGUUAAUCCACUAAAAACUAUUAAAUAAGAAAUAAUUGCAGAUAAUUUUCGGAAAUAUAAAUGGGGAGGUGAAGAGAAGGUCUUAAUUUGAAAUUAUUGCUAGAACUUACUAGAUUGUUCUUCACUAGAUUGUUUUUUCCUUAAAUGAAUGCGUGAUUCUUUCUAGAUCUCAGUUGAAACUAUUUCAUUUUCACGAAAAAAAAUCUCUGAGAGAGUAAAAGCUAGGAGAUAAAAAAAAAAAAGACUUAACUCGAAGCCUUAAGGGUAAGUGGGAAAAUGUUUGAAACGCUUUCAAAUCUUGCUCAAACAAUGGAAAGAUGUGAAAAUUGCGAGACAAUAAAUAACAUGUGAUGUAACGAGGUAAAAGCGAAAGGUGAAAACUGCCAAUUGUUUUACAAAUUUGUUAAAACAAGAAUAGAACAACAGCUUAACAAUGAAAAUUUUUUUGGAGCAUAAAACAUGGUCGAAGUAUCAGUUGGUAUGCGUGGGCGUAUGUAUUUUCGCACUGUUAAGUUUAAUGGCAUAACGCUGUAAGAAGAAAUUAACGACACACUACCGCUUUCAAACCUGGAAAUUUUGACCUAUAUUUAUUCAAUUUCGAAACCGCUGUUCCUCACAGACUAAUUAUCAAAGCGAUAUACAGUAAUUACGAGAAAUAUUAUACGCCUUUCUUUCUUUAUGCAUCACGAAGUUUAAAACCCGUAUGAAUAGAAACACCAGCAUCUAAUGGAAACCCCAAGGAAAAUAGACUAAUGUUUCUAUCAAUAUUACAUGUGCAGGGGUAGAGAGACGUGACUGUGUCUUAGAUUAAAUUUAUUAUAGUAAAAUGAAAUAUUUCGUCUAGAAUCUGGUGAUAAGGGACUACACAGCGGGAGAUGUUGGAGUACUCCGGAAAUCUCUUCUCAGUUUUGUUUUCUAUUUUAUUUCUAUUUUAUUUUCGUAGUUAACACUGUUGGACUAGAAAAUGAGUUCCUUCAUUCGUUGUAUCUCCCAUCUGUGUCCUUUGAAAUUAAACUACCUAGAGCUAUAUAUCUUUGUUUGAAUAGUUAGCUGUGGAAAACUAUUUUUUAAACACGACUGGGAGUACAGAAUUUUAGACGAUUUGACACCUAAGUCCAUUUGGUAAUCUAUAUUCUAGCUUGCAAACAUAUAGUUGCUUUAGGGAAUGAAUAGUAUAAGCUCUGCUGCUUAUGAUUAGAUAUUUUCCCUAAGUAUCAGGUGAUCCGACUACAGACAGGUGACCAGCACGUCCGACCUUUUACAACUCUCAUUCGAAAUUAAGAUUUACUUACAAAUUUCAAGCUGUUUUUAGUAGAGCUUUUUCCUUAUUAGAAAGUAAAAUAGGCCAUUGUUUUUUUUUGGAAGAAUUAAUUGGAAGGGAGGGAACGGAAUGAAGUGAACUGAUAGCGAAUCAGAAUUCUCUAUACGUAGCCUUGGCAACGAAUGACUUGGUAUCCGUUUCAGUGGGAUUUUUAUUGAAAAAAACGUUUGAAAACCACAUCAAAAAUUUCCGGGGAAAGUUUCAAAUCUAAAGAAUAUAGUUAACGAACAAUCUCGUGUAGCAUUAUGUAGUUUUUUCUUCCUUAUGUGUAUGCUUUUAAGCUUAGUGUCAAAAAGAAAAAGACAGUUUAUCGGAAAUGAAAUGAUUUUUUUUCACAUUCACAGAGGAAGUAUGGAUUGAAACUUAAACGUUAUUUUUUUAUCUUAUUGAAAUUAUAGAAGAAAUAAUUGCAGAUUUAAUUGAAUUUUUCCUCGUUUCAUCGAAUAAUUUUAUUAUUUGUCUAGUGUCCCGUAUCCAUGAAUAAGUAAAUACUUUAUUUUCAAUAGGAAAACACGAAACUGUGCCCCGGCUCGUAGUCCAACAAAAAUGACAUAUUUCUCUGCCUUAUGCAGUAGCAUAGAGACUACACCAAGAUUUUUUCUUGAUUUUGAAGAUUCUAGCUAAUAUAAAUGACGAGUUUUCGUUUCGUGCAGUGAAACCAAUUUUGACACCUAAGAAGAAGAACUUCACACCUAGCAAAAGUUUUGAAAAAUAUUGUAAAGUGUCGCUGGAACACGUCAAGAAAGCACGCAGAUUCAUCCACGAUAUUUAUCGUGAUAGUUUGUUUGACAUUGCUAGGAACAAUAUUAGAUAAUCCGUGAGUUCUUUCGCCUCUUGGGAAACGACUCAUAUACAUCUUUCUAUGGGUCGGUCCCAAAAACGAAAGGGCCGCUAAAAUUCUUGCUAAAAUUGAGAGGAGAAGAUUGUUUUUGUUACGAAAAGAUUCAACAGAGGAACUUCAAAUUUCUAUAAGUUUUUGCAACGGCCAUCCGUGGCACAAGGAGAUUUAAAAUAUGCUCUUGAAAGCACAAAAAAAAAAAAAAAAAAAAAAAAAAAAGAAAAAAAAAAAAAAAAAAAAAAAAAAAAAAAAAUCCAAGCAAUGGGGGGAAAAUCCCAUUCCUAUUAUUCAAAGUGUAUCUUUUCAGUGCAAAUUGAAUAACAAUGAUCCCAGUUCAAAUUCUUAUUCUCAAGACAUCGUUUUUCGAAUCUUUUUGACUUCCAACACGAGCUGCCCAGCAGAAUGUAGAUCUAAUCCAAUCAAUUUUGAUUGGCGUAUCCAUUAGCAACUGCGGUUUCGUGUAUCCAGGUUUGCACAGCCGAUAACCGCGAAGAAUGAAGGGAAGACAAAUAUUCAAAGUCUAAAAUCCAUAAUAAAAAAAAGGUUUUGAACAUGUAAUAUGAGCAAUUUACAGAGAUAGAUAAGUAAGUGCAUUAAGUUGAAUUUCCUGUAGCGGGAAUAACUUAAACUGAAAUUCUCAGUUUUAAAAGAUGUUCAAUGAUCUUUAUUGUUAACCUCAAAUGUAAAGGUUCUUAAUGUUUUUUGGUCACAUUUUUUUACAAAUAAAAAGGAAGUCAUUAGUCUAUGCUUUUCUCGGCCAGUACGUGCUUAUAGAUGAUUACUUCAUACCAGUUUUUUUCGCUAUAAAUGGCUUGUUUUUUACUCGGACUUUCAAAACGUCCAAUCUCAAGUAAUUGAUGAUACGCACAGAUCACCUCCCUUUUCUCUCGAGAUGCUUCAAUCGUCUACAAUUCCCUCACGUCUUGGUAUCCUUAUCAUAAUAAGGCAGUUCAGACUGCUAUAACUAUUGUCUCCAUUCAUAACCUUUUAACUCCUUUGACUACUAAACUAAAAAAAAAAAAAACUCCGAAGAUUCAAUACGAUUGUUGUCAUAAUGCAUACGGCUCAAUGCAUAUGUUUAUUACAGGGGCUUAGCAAAUAUUUGGUUUAGGGUCCCUAGAUUUGAGAAGCUACGUGCUGGAUGGUAUUGGAAAGUCGUGUAAUGCUGCACGCAUAGAGCUACUACAGUCAUGAUAGUAAUACCAUGCAGCGUUGUAUUGGCUCCUUAAAAUAAAGACAAUGCACUACAAAGCGCUAAAAGGUAUUUUUCUAUGAUACAUGAGCCAAAGUCCCAGUUGAUUUGAACUAAAUUCUGGUUGAGUAAAUAUGUCAGGAUGUGGACGUGAUGUUAUCAGGGCAGUUGCGCGUUUGCUCGACAUCCGUUCGCGUUACGCCAAAAGCUCCCUAGGGAGGGUGGGGUGCGAACCUAAUAUUGAGGUGUACGUGCAGGUCACUAUCAAGGUAAAUACAUAUUUUUUUAAAACAUUGUUUUUUUUGUUUGUUUGUUUUUUUUGUGCUAGAGUCAUUUUUUUCGAUGGGAGGGUAGAGUGCGUAGGCAAAGACUUUCAGACUCAAGUUUUCUUGCAUGAAUUAUACACAAAUAAACAAGAAUUGGACUACCUC